UCCUUGAAACCCAAGACCUGAAGGACAUGUGAUCCCUUCUCCACGGCACGCUUGAGUGGUUUCCUCAGCUUUGGAAGGAGGGAUUUGGGCUAAGUGUUCUCCAGCAUUCCCCUCAGCUCUAAGGUUCUGAAGAAGAGCAAUGGACUUGGAGCCACAAUCUUGGCUUUGGGCAAGCCUCACUGACUCUUUAAACUUCUGUUUCUCCAGCAGUAAAAAGAACACCUACAUUUCCUCGUAGGGUUGUUUCAAGGGAAGCGCUUUAUAGAAUGUAAUUCUCCAAAGCAAUGUCAGCUAUUUUCUCCCUGAAGGAGGAAAAACGCCUUGAUGGUUCUGAGAUGCUGUUCACUUAGCCAAAGGGAAACCUAUCUAUGGUGGUCUCUGUCAAGGGUGUGCUGGGGUCAGUUUGACCCUGCUUCCUAGAGCCAAUUAAAGUGUAUUGGGAAUAUUUGUAUCUCAAAAACUGGCAAAUA